UCAAAGCUAACCAAAGCAAAGUGAUUAAGUGCUUUUCUGGAUCAAAGCUAGAGUUCUCAGCACCUUGCAGGAUUGAACCCUAUGCUCACAAACUCACUGUCCAGAUCCAUUACUCAAACUCUAGGAGAUGGAUGUAUUCUACUUAUAGAGGAGCUGUUGGGGCUACUUCUUGAGGCCUGACUAGAGCUCCCAGGACUGCUGCUGACCAAGAUGCUGAGGAGUUGCUGGGUCUCCCUAGGCUACUGGCUGACUGAGAAGCAGCUGCCUGUGGACUGGUCAGAGCUCCCUGAGAUGACAGAUGUGGGUACACCUGAAGGAGAGAGUAGGAAGCACCUCAGGGAAACCAGGAACAGUCUGAUUGGGAGCUGACCUGAUACAAGGUCAGUGUGUUGUGGGUGGAUCCCUGCUAACUCAAUGGCAGACCACUCUGCCGCUGGGCUGGGGCAUGGUGGAGUUGGGUGGGCCCAUGUUCCCCCUGCCACUCCACCCCUGGGAUGGCAGUAUCCCCCUCCUUAGGCCAGGGAGCCUGUGCUCCUCUGACCAUACCUGAGCCCCAUACACUACUUAGCUGCUCUGCCAUGAUUGUGGGCCAGGGCCCACUCAUUGCUUUGCUGCCCUGCCUGGGGCUCAUAGACUGCCGUACUGUUCUGUCUGGCUGGAGGAUCGGAGCACUAGAUAAAGCUAAUUCUUCCUUUUGAGCUCACCUUUACAGGUAUGUGAUAGUGAGGUGGCAUGGCCUCUCUGAGUGACAGGGAGAGCCAGCCAUAUAGCAUACAAGGUCAAUUUGUCUUCAUAUGCCCCAAAGUAACUUUAAUAAUGUCCACAGUAUUAUGUAAAAUGCAGAUCAGCUUGAGUACAAUCUCCAUACAGUGGACUAGUUUGACCCAUAGUUCUUGGAUGGUAUUUUAGAAGUUAGGUUUCUAAAGGUUUUUUUUCUUUUCUUUUCUUUAAUACACUUCUAAGGUCAAGAGUGAGGCUGUUAGUCCUAGUUGUGUCCUCUUCAAAUUGCCAUUUAAAUGGUGAAUCCCUUUCCAAACAGAUUAUUUUUGUAGACACCAUACUGAGGCUGAAAGUUAAAUCCAUAAAUGGUCUAGUGUCCAGAUAACUCAAACAUUUACUGUUGUGAUAAAAGAUUGAGUUGUAUUUAUAUGUUAGCAGCAGAAAAGCACUCAGUCUCAGCCAUAUGGCUUGGAGGAUCUUUGGAGAAUUUACUAGAUGCUUUGCUAUAAAACACCUGGCAUAAAUUCUCACUGUUUGUACACAUUCCCCAUACUUCAAUACUGUAUAUUCUAGAAACAAGUAUUUUAUUAUGUUUUGAAGACUUGUUAAACACUUGCUUUACUGCAGCACUAGAAGCUUAUAAAUCAAGUCAUUAAUUUUAAAGGUUCCCAGUACAUUGAUUGCUAAACAAACAGCAGGAUGUUUAAACCUUUGCAUCCCAGUGUGCUGCAAAACAUUUCACACACUCCCGUUGCUACACAGCCCUUGUUAUUUCAAACCUGUUGUCUCUGUCCCCCCCUACAAAGAGCAUCUUAGAACUUGCCUUCUCUCCAGCUGUAGAUGGGGCUCAGGUGUGCUCUAGGUACACUGAUGAUUUAACACCAUUUCAGGUACCUCCCUACAGAAGCUGGAUUUCAACAACCACUUGCCUGAAGGAUAGAGAUUUCCAGAAUUUCUAGUGCACAUCAGCUGAAAACAUGUUAAGUGUUUUCUUCCAGGCUCUGUUUAAAUGGGAUACUUUAGUGGAGGAAAACAGGAUGCUUUGUAUUCUUAUAUAGACAUACUUAGGCUCCAAUUCUACAAAUGUUUGUGCACAUACUUAACUACUGUGAGUAGCUGCAUUGAUCUCAAUGCAACAACUCAUGGUAAAACUAAGCAUGUGUGUAAGAGUUUGUAGGAUUGGGGUAUUGGAUUGCAAGCUUCUUCUAUGUUUGUAUAUUGCCUAGCACAGUGGGGGCAUACUCCAUGAUUGGAUAGACAAUGCAAUAAUUUGUAUUAUAGUUUGUCAUAGUUGCUCAUGGAGUCAUGACCUAAACACAGUCUCCUAAAAGAAUGCAGGAAACCACUGUGCUAUACGCCUAUUAAGAAUGAAAAUGCAUACUAUAGAGCUUAAGCUAGGGGGGACCAUUAAAUCCUCUAGAUUGACCUCCUGUGUAUCAGAGUCCCUUAAAUUUCACCCAGUUACUCCUGUAUUCAGUCCAAUAAUUUGUGAUUGACUAAAACAUUUCUUCCAGAAAGGCAUCCAGUCUUGAUCUGAAGAAAUGAAAAAAGAGAAUCCACCACUUCCGUUGAUGGUUUCUUCCAAUGGUUCAUCACCUUCACUGGGGGACUUUUUUUGCCUCAUUUCCAAUUUGAGUUUCUCUGGCUUCAGCUUCCAGCCAUUGAUUCUUAUGCCUUUCUCCACUAGAUUAAAGAGCCUGUUCAUACCCGGGAAGUUCUUGCUAUGAAGGUAUAAUCAAGACACCUCUCAAUCUUCUUUUUCAUAAGGUAAACUUAUUGAGCUCUUUAAGUAUCUCACUGUAAAGCGUCUUCUCCGGCCCUUGAAUAAUUUUUGUGGCUCAACAUGGAGCAGGUGAAGACCAAAUCAAGCUUAAUUUCUGCUGUAAAUGCUUCACUCUUAUGAUUCUAAACCUCCUCACAUGCCAUUUAUUCCCUUGCAGUGGCAGAGUAUAUUACCCAACCCCUGCAAUUCAUUCUGCAUGGAUGGACCCUGCAUAGAAUUUCAUGGCACCAUGUGUAGGCACAUGGGCCUACGAUAGUAAUUGCAUUCAUUUAUUUAUCCUGUGCUUAGAUGCUAUGCUGCUACUAUGAAAACAUAUGAAAUUAUGGACAUAUAUAGGAAGUAAAACUUCUGCCUAGGGAAAGGCGCAGUUGUGGAUAGUUUUUAUACACAUUGAAUUAAAAAGGUGUGUCGAGGAAUUGCUUAUGUUGAUUCCCUUCCCCCUAAUUUUUGUAUCUGUCUUUAAAGACUGUAAGUUCUUGUACGUCUGUAGUGUCUGGCACAUGUUAGGUGUUACUGUUACUCCUGGGGGAAUUCUGCACGUGCACAGAAUUUGUUUCCCUGCUGAUUCAUUUGCCUGCAGAAAAAUGACUUCUGGUAGGGAAGCCACAAAAGCAGUCAUGCAACUCUCCUCAGCAAUAUGUUUCAGGUGCCCAGGGCAGCUAGCAGAGAGGUAAAUCACUGUGGGGCACAGGUGGGAUUGGGGAAGACCUGGCUGGUGGCUCCUACCCUGCACCAGGCUCAGCUUCUAGUCCCUGCUGGGCUUGGGGGAGACAGAACUUCCUCUUUCCACUGCAUGCCAUUUGGCACUGGGUCAGACCCACCCCCAGAUUUCUCCCCUGCUUGCAGAAAGCUCUGCAAACUCCUUGCCCAUUCCCAUGUGCUUCCUUCCAUCACUCCUCAGCUGCAGGGAGAGAUCCCUGUACAGGGAGCUGCUCCCCCAUCUGUACAUCCAGCCCCUCCUGCACCUUGGUUUCCCCCCCCCCCCCCCCCCAAAUGAGCCCCACUCCUCCUGGACCACCCUCACAAGCUGACCACACCUGGAUCUUUCCACCCCAACCAGCUGCACCUGGAUCCCAACUUCAUUGAGCCCCAUUCCCCCCCAGCAUCUGGGCCCCCCACACUCAGACCUCCCCGAGCAUCUGGGCCCCCCUGCAGAAUCCCAUUAUCAUUGCACCCAGAACCCCACAAGCCCCUGUCCAUCUGGAUUCCCCCCACUGAGCUGCCCUCACCCAGACUGCCCCACACAGAACGUACUCAACUCACACCUGGAUUCCCUCCACACUUGGCUCCUGCUUUGCAGGCAGGCACCUAGUACAGAGGGACAGGGCUCUGUGGUGUCUCUGGGGCAGGCCCAGUCCUUGCACUGUGUCAGGGUUGCAUGCAGCCUCACCACGGAGUUUACAUCCCAGGAUAGGGGAGCUGCACAGUGAUCUCCCACCUCUGUGCAGCCAGUGGCCUGUGUUUCCACAGUGCUAUGCUGGAGACACUUUUUUUUUGACCAAUAAAAUUUGCAGAAUUUUAAAAUUUUUGGCACAGAAUACUCUCAAGAGUAAAAUUAGCAGAACAAUAACUUUACUGGCAAGGACCUGCUAGGUUCCUUAUACAAGUCCAGAGGAGAUGUAUACAGGAAGGACAUAAUUUAUCUAAAUGCUACAGUAACAGGCACCCUCAAAUACUUUGAUUGUGAAAGGUGAGUGAACAGAAAGGAGAGAUGGCUUGUACUAUUUCUAGCAGAUCAGCUGAAGGGCAUGAUGACCAAAGGAUGAGUAUGCUCUCUGAGGAAAGGACAGCAACAGUGAGAACCCUGUUGGUAGGACCAAAGUUUCCUCCCUUUCUGUACAGAAUGUAGUGCAGCCUCCGACAGGCCAUGCUUUCUAUCUCUGAAAGUAAUGGUUUUCACUUUUGAUGUCAUCCAGCUUGCAAU